UGCAGUGGUGUCGUGGGUGUUACGUGC
rnacentral:piRNA from 1 species